GAACCAUUUAAAAUCAUGUACGCAUUGAAAAUAUGUGCGCUUUCCGAUGACUGUGUUUGAGCAAAAAAUACAUAGGCUUUUGUUUAAAAAUAUAUGUGUGUAUAAAAUCAUGAUUUCUUUGCCAUACACAUAGUAGAAUACAAAUAAGCCAGGGGACUACAUAUCAACUCCCUUGCUCUUAAAACAAAACAAUAAAACCUAUCAUUUCUUCUCUUCAGAGCAUUCUCCUCCUCUCCUUCUCGGGUGCCCUGUGUGGCUUCCAACGAAUCCUGCAUCACCACCGCCAAAGCCAAUGCAAGUGUUAUUUAGAUAGCAGAAAAACAAUGUGCAAUACAAUUAUAUAGACAUCUCUAGCAAAAUAUUGAUUGCACAUGUAGAUGGAGACUAAAACGAAGAAGGCAUUAAGAAUCAAGACGGAGAAGACUGGUCAUAGUAUCAGCCAGGAGUCUCAAAUGAAGUACUCCCUCUGUAAACUUUUAUAAGAGCGUUUAGAAUUUUAGGACACAGCCGACAAAUGGGGAAAUGGACAGUUUUACCCUCGAUUUGAAAUUUGAGUCGUCUUCCUCCUCCAGAGCUCGCGUCGUCUUCUUCCUACAGGAGCUCGCCCGUCUUCCUUCUCUAGCGUGCCGUCUUCCUCCUGCAGGAGCUCGCGUCAUCCCCUUCGUCCAAGCGCUCGGGCCCCGCCUGCAGGCACUCGCCCCCUUCGUCCAGGCGCUCGGUCCAGAUCCCAGGUGCCCAGUUCGGCCUCCGCUGCGCCCGCUUGGUUGCUGCCGCGCCCGCCCAACUUGGCUGCCGCUGUGCCCGCUUGGUAGCCGCCCCCGCCCAGCUUGGUCGUCGCUGCCCCAGAUUGGUCCUCGUCGCGCCCAGCCCACCUAGCUCGUCCCCGCCGCCGCAGCAUAUUGCUUCCAGGCAGGUUCUCCUCCCCUCUCCCCUUGCACAACAGCAGAACUCAGAUCAAUUCUUGUCUGCAAUCUUACAAAUCAAUUCUUCUGUACAGUAGAAGUCAGACUAAUUUCACAAUUUUCUGCACAGUAUCACUUGUGGGCAAUCUUACAAAUCAAUUCUUCUGUAAUCCAUAGAGUACUCCUGCAUUUGAAAAAAACCAAAUCGAUGUGUUCUCAUAGAAGAUUCUUUUCAUGAAAUUUGCUCAUGUAAGAAUGAGAAAGCUGAUGUGCACUUCUGUAGCGAUAGGGGCAUGCACUGAAUUGAUCUUAGCUUCAAACAGACUGAACUGAACUGAUAGGGGAGACAAGGAGAUGUUAUAGCGUACCUGGGAUUUGAGGAGGGGGCGAUGCCCAACCUACGACUCAUCUGUCUCCAUAGCAACGAUCUAGCUGAGUUGGAAAUUAAUCUGGUCGAUUCCCGUAACUAGGCAUCUAGCUAAGAUGGAAAUUAAUCUGGUCGGAGCAUGUGAUGUUUUCCUUUGUUCCAAUUUCUGCUUCUGAACAUAUUCAACAGUAUUUGCCAGUCCGGUUGCAGGAUGAAUGGUGGAUAAUCUGAUAAAAUCUUCAGGCCAUUAACACCACAUCUAGUGAAAUGCCAAGGAAAUUUGUCUUAGCUUCAAACAGACUGAACUGAAUUAGUCUUAACUUCAAACAAUGCAUCACAUGAUCAUUCCAGUGCCCACUUGAUUGUAAUGUUCCCACCCGAAUCAAGCGAAUCGUACGCGUCUGCAAAAUGCCAAGGAUUACUAGAUUCAGCAAAUUGACACAAAUUUUACAAAUGGCUCAGUUGAAUGAUCCUAGAGUACUCCUGCAUUUCUAUAUAAAUAAAAGGAGGAGUACCAUGAAGGAGCAUUUUGUCUCUACCGCAGCAUUACUAUGAAUCUGUACAACAACAUCUAAUGAUACUCCAUAUUUUUUUUCUCUAACGAAGUAUUACAAAGAGUUCAAAUUUAUUUGGUCAAUCUGGGCAAAUGUAUAUGAAUCUCUAUAGCUGAAUAAGCUAAUGCAUAUAAAUUCACACUAUUCUGCAUUACUACUCUUAUUCAGAAACUACUCCAUAUAAAUUCAGCAAAUGUAUAGAAACUAAAUUAUCAGUUAGCAGAAUUUACAAAGAGCUGAAUCUUUGCAGCAGCAUCUAAUGAUACCCCAUAUAAAUUUAUUACAGAGAGUUCAAACAUCUGCAUAUCUAAUGUUUUAGCUUAUAAACUUAACCAGUUCUGAACCAUAUAAACUGAAGAUUGUGUCAUUUGAUGGACUUGUUCAUGCAGAUAUAAGCAAGAGAAGCAGCAACACAAUCGUUUGAAGCCAUCCUUGAAAGAAAAGAAUAAAAAAGAAAGGAUCAAGUUCUGUUUGUCAAUGCUUGACGAGACCACCUUAGCAGCUCCAAGACCUAAAUUCAUCAGUAUGCACAACAUUGUGCAUAUUGACGAAAAGUGGUUCUAUAUGACAAAAAUGAACAGAUGCUACUACCUCCUCCCCGAGGAAGAUGACCCGGUCAGAACUGUCCGGAACAAAAACUGUAUUGGGAAAGUGAUGUUUCUGACCGCUGUUGCUCGACCUAGAUAUGACGCUGAAGGCAAUAUGACAUUCUCAGGUAAAAUUGGUGUCUGGCCCUUUGUGCAAGAGAUUCCUGCUGCUAGAAGAAGUGAGUAUAGAGCAAGAGGGACCAUUGAAAUCAAGUCCGUCAACAUGAACCGACGGGUAAUGAGGAGGUAUAUGAUAGAAAAAGUGGUUCCUGGAAUAAAGGAAGUCUGGCCCGCAGAUGAUACUAAUCCAAUAUUGAUCCAGCAAGAUAACGCAAGAACGCACAUUCUUCCAGGUGAUGCAGAGUUUGCAGAAGCUGUGGCUACAACUGGUCUGGACAUUAAAAUAAUAAACCAGCCUCCAAAUUCUCCUGAUCUAAACGCACUUGAUCUUGGAUAUUUCAGAUCCCUUGAGUCUUUGACCGACUGUAGAGCACCCACAACUAUCAAAGAACUGAUUCAAGGUGUGCAGGAAGAAUUUGAUGAGUAUGAUGCCGGAAAACUCAACAGAAUAUUUCUAACACUUGAGACCGUCAUGGUAGAAGUGAUGAACCAUGAAGGGGAAAAUGCAUACAAAAUUCCACAUUUGCGCAAGGAUAGAUUGGAAAGGCAAGGAAUCCUACCACCUAGGAUUCACUUUCCCCGUGAAGUUUAUGAACAUGCCAUGGAUAUUCUAGAACAAGAUGUCCAGUGAGCUUGGAUUGGAAAGGGAGAGAUACCGUACUCCAUGUUUGGCUUGUAGCGAAAGGCUUGUACUCCAUGUUUGUAGUGGAAAGGCAUUGACUAGUGUGGAAAGGAGAUGAGAGGAUAGGAGAGGAGAGGCAAGGAGAGGAGAUGCUUGUACUCGAUGUUUGUAAUGGAAAGUCUUGUACUCGAUGUCUGUAGUGGAAAGGAGAGGAGAGCAUAUGAUUUUCUGAAUUUUAGGAAUUUUAUAUGAAUUUUAGGAAGUUUCAGAAUUUAUCCCAGAAUUUUAUAUGAAAUUUCUGAAUUUGCGGAAAGGCUUUCUGUGAUUACAUUACCUGAAUUUUAUAUGAAGUUGUGAAAGGCUAUGUAUGAUUUCAGAAAAAAAUAUUAUAUGAAGUUUUUGAAGUUGUUGGAGAGGAGACAGAGGAGAAGAAAGGGCUUUGUAUGAUUACAUUUUCUGAAAUAUUCUGAAUUGUAUGCAAAUUUCUGAAUUUUAUGUUGUUUGUUGGAGAGGAGAGUUUCUAAAUUUCCUUCUGUUUGUUGGAGUAGGAGAGGAGAUAAUUACUCCUGGUCCUUUCUACAUCAAUUCAACAUGAACGAGGAGCUCCUAAUAUUGUGCUAAUAAUUCACCAACUAAUAGGACUCGGCUGAUAAUUCACCAAAUAAGCUUGUGCUAAUAAGAUGCUACUCUGCCGUCAGCCUUCUUUUAUUCCUACACCUCUUGGAAAAAAAUAACACAAACAUGCCUCUAGUGGAAGUAGAUAAAUAGGCUAAUGAAAGAGUACUCGUCCUAGUGGUAGAUUAAUUGGACAAAAUUAAAAGAUCAUGGUCAGGCUGCUCAUGGUCAUAAGCAGAGCAAUGUAAAGCAUGCACUGUUGAGAGUCUUGCCGCACUGGCAUUUCCUUAUAAACUAAACGCCCACAUUUCAUCAUUUGUACUCGAACAAAAGAUUCACAGAAGCAGUAGAUAAGACUGCAUUUGUUAUAGCAGUAGCAAAUGACAGGUGAUUGGUUGGAUACCUGCUCCACUACAUUUGCUAUAGCACAUGUGUUCUUGCAAAAAUCGCCGAUACAAACUGAGUAUGAAAAGAAGCAGCACAACAUCAUUGGCAUUCCUAUUUGGCAUUUUACUCCUAGAUACAGUAUGAUUAUUUCUGGGGUAAAAGCAGCAACCCAACCCCAGCUAUUCACUCUGAAAGAAUAGAAAGAAAAGGAAGGCCCCCAAGAAGGGGGCUGGACCCAAAUCCUCUGUCUCUGCUCUGAUUUUUACCUCUGUUUUUCUUCCCCGACGAGUUCAGUGAAUCUGCGUGUGCAUCCAUUGGAUCCCACCGUGCUAAGCUAGUUCGAGUGAGAUUAGAGAGGAGACCUUAACUUCUCUAGACAAUAGUACUCCUCGAAUCAUCCAUACAUCCAUACAGAGAAGCAAGAAGAGUAC
rnacentral:lncRNA from 1 species